GAAAUGCGAUACGUAAUGUGAAUUGCAGAAUUCAGUGAAUCAUCGAGUCUUUGAACGCACAUUGCGCCCCCUGGUAUUCCGGGGGGCAUGCCUGUCCGAGCGUCAUUGCUGCCCUCAAGCACGGCUUGUGUGUUGGGCCCCCGUCCCCCUCCCAGGAAGGGGACGGGCCCGAAAGGCAGCGGCGGCACCGUGUCCGGUCCUCGAGCGUAUGGGAAGCAACUUUUUUGUCACCCGCUCCUGUAGGUCCGGCCGGCGGCCUGCCCAACCCCAACCUUCUUUUUUUUUAACCAGGUUGACCUCGGAUCAGGUAGGAGUACCCGCUGAACUUAA
rnacentral:misc_RNA from 1 species